CGCCCCGCUCACCGCUGUCCUCGCGUGUCGACGAGGCAGCACUGCAGCCGCCGCCGGCCACCGCUGCGUGCGAAGAGCAGUGCAGGCAGCCGGCGCACACGUGUGCGCUGCCGGUCGCCGCGUUGGCCGCUACUCUCCGCUCUCUCGGGGACGGGGCCGCGGUUGCUCCCCAGCGCGGGCCAGGGCGUGCGCUCGCCCCUGCGGACGCAGCCUGGAGGAGUGUGUGGGGGGGGUGUCUGCGCGGGGGUCUGGAUGUGUCCAGCAGCGGCACGGCAGCCUGAUGCCUCCUCUCGUCUGGGACGCGGGUUCCUUGGCAGCUCUUCUGGGAUGCGGGGCCCUUGGGUAGUUCACCGAAGGGGGACAUCUCGAAGAGAAGCAGCGAGACCUGGGGAUCCGGUUGUUCGUUUUGGUCGUCGCCUGUGAGGCCAGCAUCCGAGCGUAAGAGGAAUCUAGGCGCUGUCUCGAAAAGAGAUGGCACCAAGGACAGCAAAUGCUGACAAAGAGAAGAGACGGACAAGCAUUUUCUUGUGAUUAAUACCGAAGGGACGGGAUGAAACAAGGAAGCCAAAAUGCAGUGGACCCUCGAUAUCCCCAGGAACUGCUACAGGAGGCGGCGUUCUGGCACGGGUAACUAAGGGUGAUGGAUUUUACUGUGCCUCCAUCAACAGGCGCUGCCUGGCAAAGUCGUCAUGUCCCAGCGGAGACUCUUAGGCAGGACGGGAGGAGUUCGGAUCCGCAGCCUGCCAGAAGAGCGUCGCCCGGGAGGGGUCGCUAGCCUUGAGCUACAGGCGCUGGUGCUGAAGCCCAGUCGGGCAGUCGAAGGAGCCUCGUCGCAGCUGGGAGCUCUGCGGAGAUGCGUGGCCGGCUGUGGAGGAUGAGCUCUGACUUGCGGCGUGGACACGGCUAAGUCCUGGGCUGCAUCGUACGCGAGUGGGGCUGGGAGGUGCGAGGCGUUCGUCCCCUAGCCGUGGUCACUGGCGCCGCUGGCUGUGGCCGUUUGCCCACGGAGCUGAGAGGACCAAACAUACUAAUUGCCUGACCCAGAGAUGAAUUAGUGCUUGCAGGCUUUCAGGUAGGUUCAGUGCAAGUGCAGCUUAGUGCAGUCCCGUGGAGUGACGCUUGCACAUGCUCACAUUUGAAUGGUGGCUAAAACCAAGCCUCUAAACAGCAACUGUAACGCAAUUCUGGUGCUUGUCUUCCUGUUCUGCUGUACUUCUAAAGGAAGGGAAAGCUUCCUAAGCUGCGGGCAAAACUCCUUGGCUUCUCUUGACUGUUUCCAUGCUCUGGAAACAGCUUUGGGUGCUUUGGUGCUUGUUGCUUAAAGCUGAGGGUUUGGAAUUUUUCACUUAAGGUUGAUUGUUUAGCUUGCUGCUGAGGGUCUCUCACCCAGGAGUUACGGGUUAUUCCUUUCUUUUGUGGGGCUCACUCUUUAUCAGUCAGGGUUUACAGUUUGCUCAUGUAGCAAUCGGGGCGCAGAAUUUAAAAUCCAACCCCAUCCCUUGUCCCGAUCCAAUAUCGGGGGGGUUUCGUUACGAUCCCAAGGACGAGAUUAAGACGCUAAAACCGGUCAAAUAUCGUACAACCGUUUAACAUUAUUUUCCACAAAGUGGGGAGAAAAGGUGGGGAAAGGCGAAGGAGAGGCGAAGGGAAGAGGGGAACAAGGGUAAGGGGAAAAGAUAGAGAAAGCUGGAAAAGGAGAGAAAGAGCUGGCUACCACCAGUCCGAGUCCAGUGAUGUUCUGCUGACUCCGUUCGAAUUACAGCUCAGGCUGGGUGCCUCCGAUGAGGGACCCCGAACAAAGAAGUCCCUGGGCAAUGAUACUUUCCAAUCUAAGCUCUCCACCCUUCACACAGUAGUUUGGACCAAUAGUAAUAUUUAGGUCUGGGGUCUCCUGCUCCCUAUUGCGUCCCUCGGUAGGUUGUUUACUGUUGCGGUUUCUGCUGGUGGAUGUGUCUUCAUUCUUCGGGUCCUGCCCUUGUCUCUCAAGGCCCUGACAAAUCAGUACUGCCCCAGCAGUGAUAGUAGGUGUUAUUUCCCAAGGUCCUGACAAAGGGAAUAUAAUCUGGACCCCGAGAUAGUCCAGACCCCCCCCAAUCAGCACUGUUUCAGCAGCGAGAGGAGCCCCAUCAUCCAACUACGAUGGCAGUUCUUUGACCAUUUGCUUGUCCAGCCACUCAGACCAUAGAGGCCUAGUUUGUGUGCAAGUAUACUGCGGGAGAAAGUGUCAAAAGCCUUCUGAAAGUUGAGGUAACUGACAUUCACUACUCUCUGUUUGUCCAUAAAUAGAGUUCUUUUAACAUAGAAAGCCAUCACGUUGGUGAGGCAUGAUUUCCCCUCAGGAAAUCUGUGCUGACUCUUCCCAGGCACCUCAUUCUCCUUCCUUUACCUGGAAAUGUGAUCAGAGGGGGCUCGCUGCAUGAUGCUCUCCUCAUCAAAGUGAGUCUGAACGGCCUGUAGUUGCCCAGGUUGUGCUUGUGGCCUUUGUGGAAGAGGGAUGUAACAUUUGCCCUUCUCCAGUCAUUGGGUCCUCCCUGAGUCUCCACAGCUUUCCAAGAUGACAGAGAGUGGCCUUGCUAGAUAGAGGCCAGCUCUCUCAGCAUCCUCAGCUGCAGCCCAUCCAAUCCUGUACACUUAGAAAUAAUUCCUGCCUCAGUCCUCAGGCCCUGCUGGUUGUUUUUCUCCUCAGGACUCCUGACUCUAGGCACAAUGGCCUGGGACACCUUGCUGGUGGGAGCUGAAGCCAAGGGAUUGAGUUCCCCAGACCCAUCUACCUCUGCUAUUACCAGAUUGCCUGCCCCAGUCAGGAAUGGGACCACGUUAUCCUUGUUCAGGCUUUCACUGUUACUGAAGCAAUAGCAGAUCAUCUUUUUGCCCUUGACAUUGCUUGUAGCCUCAGUCCUAAAGGCGCUUAGGUUUUCCUAACAGCUUCCCUACUUCCCUGGACAGCAUUUCUCACUUCCUGCUUUGCAGCCUCUCCCUGCUCCCCAUCUCCGUGUGCUGCCUUUCUGUACUGUUGUUCAGUUGUGAGUUCCCUGUUCAGGCACUCUGUCUCCUGAGAUCUCUGCUUGCUCUCCUGGACAUCAGUAUGGGCCAUUCUUGAGCUUAGAGGAUGCUGUCCUUAAAGACCUGCCACCUUUCUUGAGUUCUUCUGUCCUUCAGACUUACCUACCACAGGAUCCCUCUACCAGUAGGUCCAAGUCUGCUCCUCUGACAUCCAGAGUGUGGGCUCUGCUACUCUUCCUCCUCAUAUCACUCAGGAUCUGGAACUCCACUGUUUCAUGGCCACUGCAGGCAAGGCUGACACAUCUACCUGGCUGCCCUCCUGGGCAACAUCCUCAUCAUCACAGCCGUAGCCUGCGACCACCGCCUCCACACCCCCAUGUACUUCUUCCUCCUCAACCUCUCCCUCCUCGACCUUGGCACCAUCUCCACCACUGUCCCCAAAUCCAUGGCCAAUUCCCUGUGGGACACCAGGGCCAUUUCCUACUCAGGAUGUGCUGCCCAACUCUUUUUUCUUGCCUUUUUCAUGUUGGCUGAGUAUUCUCUUCUCACAGUCAUGGCCUAUGAUCACUAUGUUGCCAUAUGUAAAC